rnacentral:rRNA from 1 species
GACGAAGGAUGCAAGCGUUAUCCGGAUUCAUUGGGUUUAAAGGGUGCGUAGGUGGCCUUAUAAGUCAGUGGUGAAAUCUCUGGGCUUAACCCAGAAAUUGCCAUUGAUACUGUAGGGCUUGAGUACAGUUGCUGUGGGCGGAAUAUGACAUGUAGUGGUGAAAUACAUAGAGAUGUCAUAGAACACCGAUUGCGAAGGCAGCUCACAAAACUGUAACUGACACUGAGGCUCGAAAGUGCGGGGAUCAAACAGG